ACUCCUACGGGAGGCAGCAGUGGGGAAUCUUGCGCAAUGGGCGAAAGCCUGACGCAGCCACGCCGCGUGAGGGAUGAAGGCUUUCGGGUUGUAAACCUCUUUCAGCAGGGACGAAAAUGACGGUACCUGCAGAAGAAGNCCGGCCAACUAC
rnacentral:rRNA from 1 species